rnacentral:tRNA from 1 species
AAAGGGAGACCUAAUUCGGGUAUAAGACGAAAAAAUAGUAGUCGAAACCAAGAAUCAAUCCCAAAAGGUCGGAACGAGGUAUGUGGCUUUCAAACUAGGUUCUGGGUUCAUAAAAGACCUGAAUCAGGAACAAGGGCUAUUAGCUCAGGUGGUUAGAGCGCACCCCUGAUAAGGGUGAGGUCCCUGGUUCGAGUCCAGGAUGGCCCACCUGCACAGGUGGCAAAAACAAGAGAAGCGAGGAAUCAGCACCUUAUCUUACUUAUAUAGUAAGAGAGAAUGCUGGCUCUGAGUAAAGAGUCCAGAGGAACCUUGAAAACUGCAUAGAGCUAGGUGAAAAAGCCAAAAAAGAAGACCGCAAG